rnacentral:lncRNA from 1 species
CUAAGCUUCAAGUUGCCCAAGUUUAUAGAAUGAGUCAAUGGCAGAGGUUGAACUCAGAUGACAAAAUUGGGGUCUGGACAUGUGCAAGGACUUUUCCGAAGUCAGCUGGAAAGGAGCUGCUUAGCUGAGAGGUUCUGGCUCCAAAGUCUCCUGUGAAGUUGCAGUCAAGAUGUCUGCUGGGACCCCAGUCAUUUGAAGCCCUGUCUGGGGCAGGAGAAUCUAGGUCCAAAAUGGCCGUUGCAGGAGUCCUUAUCCACACCAUGUGGGGCCUCUUCAUAGAUGUUCGAGUGUCCUCAUGGCAUGGCCACUGGCUUUCCCCAAAGUAAGCAGUCCAAAAGAGGGUAAGACAGAGCCCACACUGUCUUUUAUGAAUUAGCCUUGGAAGUCUAACACGGUUACUUCCACCACAUUCAUUAGUCGUUAGGUACAGCUCACAUU